rnacentral:rRNA from 1 species
CAAUAGCGUAUAUUAAAGUUGUUGCAGUUAAAAGCUCGUAGUUGGAUUUCUGGGCUGAGCGACCGGUCCGCCGCUGUGCGGUGUGUACUCGGGUGCGACUCGGCUCAUCCUUGCAGGGAACGGUCUUCGGUCUUAGUUGAUCGAGGUCGGGAAUUGCAUCGUUUACUGUGAAAAAUUAGAGUGUUUAAAGCAGGCUUAAGCCGUUGAAUACAUUAGCAUGGAAUAAUAAGAUAAGACUUGGGUCAUUAUUUUGUUGGUUUGCGGAUCGAGGUAAUGAUUAAUAGGGAUAGUUGGGGGUAUUCGAUAUUUAAUUGUCAGAGGUGAAAUUCUUGGAUUUAUGAAAGAUGAACUUAGGCGAAAGCAUUUACCAAGGAUGUUUUCAUUAAUCAAGAACGAAAGUUAGGGGAUCGAAGAUGAUUAGAU